rnacentral:rRNA from 1 species
GCCUGGCGGCUGUAGCGCGGUGGUCCCACCUGACCCCAUGCCGAACUCAGAAGUGAAACGCCGUAGCGCCGAUGGUAGUGUGGGGCCUCCCCAUGCGAGAGUAGGGAACUGCCAGG